rnacentral:tRNA from 1 species
AAUGAAAUGGCUGAAAUUAGGUGGUAAAUUGUAAAUUUACUUAUGAAAAAAAUUCUUUCGUUU